rnacentral:tRNA from 1 species
GCGCCACUAGUCCAGUGGUGAGGAUAUUUGCCUUCCAAACCAGACACAAAGCAGGUUCUGAUAGCAAAAGAGCGGGGUUCGAUUCCCCGGUGGCGCA